UACGUAGGCAGCAAGCGUUGUUCGGAGUUACUGGGCGUAAAGGGUGUGUAGGCGGUUCUUUAAGUUUGGUGUGAAAUCUCCCGGCUCAACUGGGAGGGUGCGCCGAAUACUGAGGGACUAGAGUACGGGAGAGGAAAGUGGAAUUCCUGGUGUAGCGGUGAAAUGCGUAGAUAUCAGGAGGAACACCGGUGGUGUAGACGGCUUUCUGGACCGUAACUGACGCUCAUGCACGACAGCGUGGGGAUCAAACAGG
rnacentral:rRNA from 1 species